rnacentral:rRNA from 1 species
UGGGGGAUAUUGCACAAUGGGGGAAACCCUGAUGCAGCGACGCCGCGUGGAGGAAGAAGGUUUUCGGAUUGUAAACUCCUGUCGUUAGGGACGAUAAUGACGGUACCUAACAAGAAAGCACCGGCUAACUACGUGCCAGCAGCCGCGGUAAAACGUAGGGUGCAAGCGUUGUCCGGAAUUACUGGGUGUAAAGGGAGCGCAGGCGGACCGGCAAGUUGGAAGUGAAAACUAUGGGCUCAACCCAUAAAUUGCUUUCAAAACUGCUGGCCUUGAGUAGUGCAGAGGUAGGUGGAAUUCCCGGUGUAGCGGUGGAAUGCGUAGAUAUCGGGAGGAACACCAGUGGCGAAGGCGACCUACUGGGCACCAACUGACGCUGAGGCUCGAAAGCAUGGGUAGCAAACAGGAUUAGAUACCCUGGUAGUCCACGCUGUAAACGAUGAAUACUAGGUGUGGGAGGACUGACCCCUUCCGUGCCGCAGUUAACACAAUAAGUAAUCCACCUGGGGAGUACGACCGCAAGGUUGAAACUCAAAGGAAUUGACGGGGGCCCGCACAAGCAGUGGAGUAUGUGGUUUAAUUCGACGCAACGCGAAGAACCUUACCAAGUCUUGACAUCCUCUGACGAACGUAGAAAUACGUUUUCUCUUCGGAGCAGAGAGACAGGUGGUGCAUGGUUGUCGUCAGCUCGUGUCGUGAGAUGUUGGGUUAAGUCCCGCAACGAGCGCAACCCUUAUGGUCAGUUACUACGCAAGAGGACUCUGGCCAGACUGCCGUUGACAAAACGGAGGAAGGUGGGGAUGACGUCAAAUCAUCAUGCCCUUUAUGACUUGGGCUACACACGUACUACAAUGGCGUUAAACAAAGAGAAGCAAGACCGCGAGGUGGAGCAAAACUCAGAAACAACGUCCCAGUUCGGACUGCAGGCUGCAACUCGCCUGCACGAAGUCGGAAUUGCUAGUAAUCGUGGAUCAGCAUGCCACGGUGAAUACGUUCCC